rnacentral:rRNA from 1 species
GCACAGCUCAAAUUUGAAAUCUGGCCUCGGCCCGAGUUGUAAUUUGCAGAGGAUGUUUCUGGCGCGGUGCCUUCCGAGUUCCCUGGAACGGGACGCCAAAGAGGGUGAGAGCCCCGUAUGGUCGGACACCAAGCCUGUGUGAAACUCCUUCGACGAGUCGAGUAGUUUGGGAAUGCUGCUCUAAAUGGGAGGUAAAUCUCUUCUAAAGCUAAAUACCGGCCAGAGACCGAUAGCGCACAAGUAGAGUGAUCGAAAGAUGAAAAGCACCUUGAAAAGGGGGUUAAAUAGUACGUGAAAUUGUUGAAAGGGAAGCACUUAUGACCAGACUUGGGCCGGGCGGCUCAUCAGGGGUUCUCCCCUGUGCACUCCGCCCGGCACAGGCCAGCAUCGGUUCUCGUGGGGGGAUAAGACCGUCAGGAACGUAGCACCCUCCGGGGUGUGUUAUAGCCUGGCGGACGAUACCCUCGUGGGGACCGAGGUUCGCGCUCCGCAAGGAUGCUGGCGUAAUGGUCAUCAGU